UACGUAGGGUGCAAGCGUUGUCCGGAAUUAUUGGGCGUAAAGAGCUCGUAGGCGGUUUGUUGCGUCGGCUGUGAAAUCCCGAGGCUCAACCUCGGGUCUGCAGUCGAUACGAGCAAACUAGAGUGUUGCAGGGGAGACUGGAAUUCCUGGUGUAGCGGUGAAAUGCGCGAGAUAUCGGGCAGGAACACCGGUGGCGAAGGCGGGUCUCUGGGCAAUUCCUGACGCUGAGGCGGCGAAAGCGUGGGGAGCAAACGGG
rnacentral:rRNA from 1 species